UUUAAACUUAUGAAGUACUGGUUCAGUUAUUGACUCCUGAUCUCUCGUUUGUUAAUUGGACAAAGUAGUUGUGUAUUUUCACCUGCGAACUUGAUACGAGUCCUUUAAGCGAGAGUGUGUGAAAAUUCAGUGCAUCAGGACCCAGCUCUGGUAGUGAGAUGACGUUCACAAACGACUAGUCAACAGCUGUUUACAUCACCAUUCAGUCAGAUCACCGCUAUAACAGCACCAUUCAGUCAGAUCGCCGCUAUAACAGC